rnacentral:rRNA from 1 species
UGCAAGUCGAGCGGUAGCACAGAGAGCUUGCUCUCGGGUGACGAGCGGCGGACGGGUGAGUAAUGUCUGGGAAACUGCCUGAUGGAGGGGGAUAACUACUGGAAACGGUAGCUAAUACCGCAUAACGUCGCAAGACCAAAGUGGGGGACCUUCGGGCCUCAUGCCAUCAGAUGUGCCCAGAUGGGAUUAGCUGGUAGGUGGGGUAACGGCUCACCUAGGCGACGAUCCCUAGCUGGUCUGAGAGGAUGACCAGCCACACUGGAACUGAGACACGGUCCAGACUCCUACGGGAGGCAGCAGUGGGGAAUAUUGCACAAUGGGCGCAAGCCUGAUGCAGCCAUGCCGCGUGUGUGAAGAAGGCCUUCGGGUUGUAAAGCACUUUCAGCGGGGAGGAAGGCGGUGAGGUUAAUAACCUCAUCGAUUGACGUUACCCGCAGAAGAAGCACCGGCUAACUCCGUGCCAGCAGCCGCGGUAAUACGGAGGGUGCAAGCGUUAAUCGGAAUUACUGGGCGUAAAGCGCACGCAGGCGGUCUGUCAAGUCGGAUGUGAAAUCCCCGGGCUCAACCUGGGAACUGCAUUCGAAACUGGCAGGCUAGAGUCUUGUAGAGGGGGGUAGAAUUCCAGGUGUAGCGGUGAAAUGCGUAGAGAUCUGGAGGAAUACCGGUGGCGAAGGCGGCCCCCUGGACAAAGACUGACGCU